GGUUCCGUGGUGUAGUGGUUAUCACGUCUGCUUUCCAUGUAGAAGGCCCUGGGUUUGGGUCCCAGUGGAACCA